UCCAAAUAAUUUCUCAACUGAUCGGUCAAACUUAGUUAAAUUAUUCCAGGUGUGCUAUGCAGGGGGUUAUUACAACCAUAAGGAAAAUGGUAACGUUAAGACAUGCCCAUUUGCCCAGUGUCCUGAUGAAUUGCAUUCUCUCUCUCCUGUCUCCCUGCAGCCUAUCGACAGCUGGGCUUGUCAAUCCAGUUGAGGGCUGCCGGCAAACACCGAGGUCCAGGCUGCUGUGGAUGGAAAGGAUUGAAUGCCCAUCAGCCAUCAAAAUGAACAGACUGCUGACACAUGGAACAGCAUGGAUGAUUGUCAGAGACAAAAACCCUGCAGCAAAGCAGAUUCAUAGGAUACAAGAUACCUGUAAGAUCAAAUAAAUCAGUUGCAUUUAGCCUUUCUGCUGAUGGAAGUGAAAAGUGUCAAGCAGUGCUGAGGACAUGCUGGGAGGACUGGAAAGAGGGAUCUUGCUGCUGUCGAGGACGCCACACGUGUUACAAGAGGACAGCGGAUAUGAUGUCCGGCAUCGCCCAAAAGGAUGCAAGACGCUCAGGACCAGCUCUGGAGGUUCUGGACACAGAGGAGCUUCUAAUCAAUAUAUCUUUAAAGCUGAAAACAAGAGAAGCAACAUGAAGCUGUGAUUUUGUAGGGUCUGGGGCCCUGGACUGCCUGGAUGUUCUUUCUAAAGUCUGCCAUUGGUACCCUGCCAUCUGCUUCCCUGGUUUUGAACAGCAGAAAAUUACCCAUAUUGAAUGUAGUCUGGUACAGCCAUUAUGGAAAACAGUAUGGAGAUUCCUCAAAAAACUAAAAAUAGAGUUACCAUAUGAUCCAGCAGUCCCACUCCUGG